GGAGAUGUGCUCGAGUGUUUAAGAGAACAGCUUGCAAACCUGUUAUUCGGUGGUUUAAAUCCAUCCAUCUCCUCCA
rnacentral:tRNA from 1 species